rnacentral:rRNA from 1 species
CAGCCGCCGCGGGAAUACGAACCGUGCAAACGUUACUCGGAAUCACUGGGCUUAAAGCGCACGUAGGCGGCGACAUAAGUUAGAGGUGAAAUCCCAUCGGCUCAACCGUGGAACUGCCUCUAAUACUGUGUUGCUUGAGGGAGAACGGGGCAUUCGGAACUUCCGGUGGAGCGGUGAAAUGUGUUGAUAUCGGAAGGAACGCCAACGGCGAAAGCACUCUGCUGGGCCGACACUGACACUGAGAGACGAAAGCUAGGGGAGCAAAUGGGAUUAGAUACCCCCGUAGUCCCUGUCUCUUAUA